ACCAAGACUUGACAUCCCGCUGACCGCUCUAGAGAUAGAGUUUCCCUUCGGGGCAGCGGUGACAGGUGGUGCAUGGUUGUCGUCAGCUCGUGUCGUGAGAUGUUGGGUUAAGUCCCGCAACGAGCGCAACCCUUACAUUGUGUUGCCAUCAUUUGGUUGGGCACUCACAAUGGACUGCCGGUGACAAACCGGAGGAAGGCGGGGAUGACGUCAAAUCAUCAUGCCCCUUAUGUCUUGGGCUACACACGUGCUACAAUGGGCGGUACAAAGGGAUGCGAAACCGCGAGGUGGAGCCAAUCUCAUAAAGCCGUUCGUAGUUCGGAUUGCAGGCUGCAACUCGCCUGCAUGAAGCCGGAAUUGCUAGUAAUCGCGGAUCAGCAUGCCGCGGUGAAUUCGUUCCCGGGCCUUGUACACACCGCCCGUCACACCACGGGAGUUGGCAACACCCAAAGUCGGUGAGGUAACCUUCGGGAGCCAGCCGCCUAAGGUGGGGUCGAUNAACUGGGGUGAAGUCGUAACAAGGUAGC
rnacentral:rRNA from 1 species